rnacentral:misc_RNA from 1 species
ACAAACUUGGUCAUUUAGAGGAAGUAAAAGUCGUAACAAGGUUUCCGUAGGUGAACCUGCGGAAGGAUCAUUAACGAGUUUGAAAGGGGUUGUAGCUGGCCUUCACCGGCACGUGCACGCCCCACUCAUCCACUCUACACCUGUGCACUCACUGUGGGUUUCGAGCGAUCGUGCGGGGGCUUGCUCUCGUGCGGUUUAUCGGGCCUACGUUUAUCACAAACUCUUCAGUAUCAGAAUGUGUAUCGCGAUGUAACGCAUCUAUAUACAACUUUCAGCAACGGAUCUCUUGGCUCUCGCAUCGAUGAAGAACGCAGC